ACAACAAGGGAAUCAACAGGCGUAUUCGGGCGUAUUCGGCUUGAGACGUGGCCUGCAAGGUAUUUGCGGCUUUCAUAUGACAUUUACUCACAGAAUAAUUGUGUUCUCUUCUAGUAGGCAAGAAUAUGAGAUCGAAGCCUUGUCUGCUGUUUCAGACAUUCUCAGUGUGCUGGGCUGUUAGGGGUGUUGGCUUUAGGAGGGGAGGUUGAAGUAGAAUGGGCAGAUGUUUUGGCAAAAUUCAUAUUCCAUGACUAUCCAGGGAAUGUGCGAAAGUGUUUUUAUGUAUAACACUAUGGAGCAGUAGCACAGCCACUCGUUCAAAAAACAAGGUUUGAACACCCCAUUGUCUGCUCUGGAGUUAUCCACAUACCACACACGAACAGCAAAGAGGCGGCGACUCUGUGGCCCCAGUGCUACCACUUUCUCUUCCUGUGUCUACGUGGAAUAUUGAUAAAACAUCACAAAACUUUCUCGUUGAGCCUGAACACAGCCUCAGAAUCUUGCCCACACAGCAGGCCAGGAUGCCAUUAGGAUUUACACAUACCUGAGGUCACUGGUGUGGCAUGUUCAUGCAUUCAUUCAUUAAACACUUAUUGACAUCUCCCACUAGUGCUAGAGAUGCAAUGAUGAGACCGAGGAAGAACACAUCCCUGCCCAAUGAGAGAGGAACCUCAGAAGAGGCCGCACAGUGCGAUGCCGUUGGAAUUUCGGCAGUGUGAUGCGUUGCUAUGGAAGCACACUCAAUACAUUUGAGUGGAAAUGGGAACUCUUGGUGUCAUACAUUUUUAUAGCUUUUCUUUGAAUUUUAAGACACAUACUAGAAUCUAUACCUUCUAAUAAAGUAAGCCUGGCAAUAACAGUUUUCUCUUAACUUCUGUACACACAAACCUUUUUAAGCUCUUUCUUGAUCAGGUCCAGGCAGAUAAUAGAAGCAAGCAAACGCCUGAACAGAGUUGUUGGCAAUUAAUAAAUAAGGGUAAUAAUAAUAGGAAUAGCUUACAUGUAUCCUUCCAUUUACUCAUUCAGCUAAUAUUGUGGGGUGCUUACUGUUCAUAUGGGAUCUAACUAGGGAUAAUGCAAGGGACGAAACAGGUGAAAAUGGACAAAACUCCUCAUUCUUCAGGGGCUUGCAUUCUAAUAGAGGAAUAUAAAUAAUAGAUAAAAUUUACUGUUUCUUAGAGGACG
rnacentral:lncRNA from 1 species